rnacentral:lncRNA from 1 species
UCAAAUUUCCUCAAUUCAAAUUUCUUGAAUUUAAAUAUGAUGCAUGAUGCUCUCUAAUAUAAUUAUUAUAAGCAAAUAUUCUAGGGUUGUGCAACGUCCCCCUUUAUAUAUAAGGCAACCACAACAGAAGCACAACAAUCAACUGCAAAACAGAGGUCCACGGAAACAAAGAAAAGAAAAUAAAAAGGUACGGCACAAGCUGGGCACAACAGCUCAACAAGCCCACAAACGUGAAGUGCAUAAUAUAGCCUCGAGGGGGAUAAAUGAUCAUGAGAAGUCUAGUCGCCACGUCCGUGUGCUUCCUCGUCAAUCUGUCAAUGGCCACCUUGUCCUGUCACUUGGAGAGAGGCUUCCAAAGUUGCAAGAACCCACUGAGUUUGCAAAUCGAGUUCGUGGCCCUGGAAGGAAAUAUAAGUUCUGUUAGAGCUUUAUUCCAAUCACACCAAAGAGUCCAAGCCAAGGUACCAAAAUUGAUCCACAUCAGUCUACGAACCUGGCCAGUGCAAUUAUCAUCAACUGGUGCCAUUCGGGAAGGAGGUUGGGUACCAAUCAUUGUCCUAGACUUCCCAAAAGCAGCUCCACAUGAACUAGGCGGGCACGAAAUAAAAAGAACUAGCGGUUGGGGAGCCACCCGGUGGCGCCGCUUAAGAGGAAGCUGGGCGGUGCCAGGUGGGAGGCGCCCCUUCGGCUUUUUUCUUGUCACACAUGCAUAUACAACUGAAAACCUUGUUAAUCAAUGACCAUAAAGCAGGCCAAAUCCCUUGAGAGUAGUCAUCCAAAUCAUUAGAGCUGAAAGCGGAUUGGGAGCCAAAUGAGUUCAAACUACUUGAUGGACUAAACAUCUAGAAACAAGCAUUUCAUCCACAUCUGGAACUUAAGAGGGAUCUACUGACCAACGUCAAUAGCUUCUUGUCUAACCAAAGAGAAAACAUACAAGGGUAGCAGAUCAUAGAAAUUAUAUUGAUGUUAACAGGCAGAAACCUUCUACCUUCUUAACGAAAAGAAAGCUAAAAUCUUCAGGCAGGGCAUACUUUCAUUCUUUUAACAAUAUAUCGAUCGUUCCUGUAAAGAGCAAGCACAUGACCAAUUAGAUAUGUACCAUCAUCAUUCAAUUCAUGUUUCCUAGAAACAAAUAACAAAGAACAAAUAAGAUUACUUUCAGUGUAGGAGGCAAUCCUUCCAUUUUUUAUAGAAAAUGCAAAACAGUACAUGAUACUGAAAUAAUAUGUUCUGCAACUACCGAUUUUCUCAAAAGAGUAAAAUAACCAGGGUAAUGUUGAACAUGCAUGUGCAAUUAGAACAAGCAUGCAUUCUUGACUAACAAUGAGACUUACAGUUGGCACAACACUNN